UACGGAGGGUGCGAACGUUAAUCGGAAUCACUGGGCGUAAAGCGCGCGUAGGCGGUCUGUUAAGUGGGAUGUGAAAUCCCCGGGCUUAACCUGGGAAUUGCAUUUCAAACUGGCCGACUAGAGUACGGUAGAGGGAGGUAGAAUUUCCUGUGUAGCGGUGAAAUGCGUAGAUAUAGGAAGGAAUACCAGUGGCGAAGGCGGCCUCCUGGAUCGAUACUGACGCUGAGGCGCGAAAGCGUGGGGGAGCAAACAGG
rnacentral:rRNA from 1 species